ensembl:lncRNA
CUCACGUAAAAUACUGAGGUAGCCAUUUUUCCUAUCGCUUCUUAUGAGAAACCAACUGCCUCGACGGAUAUAUUAUCGAAUAUAUUUGUUAAAAACACCUUGAGGAUGGAUCCUAAACAACGUUUGCCGCGUUUCUGUCGAUAUUAUGGAGCAAAUUUUGAAAAAAGUUUGCCGUUAUAGUUGUAGCAUUUUAGGGUCGAUUUCUCAGCCAAGCAUGAUGAACAAGCGGGAGCUAUUUCACCCACAAAAAUAAUAUUUUUGGAAAAAAGGAACAUUUGCUAUCUAACUGGGAGUCUCCUGAGUGAAAGCAUCUGAAGUUCUUCAAAGAGACUCCCUCUGUCCAGCGCUUCCAGAGUCUCCCUCCUGUCCAGCGCUGCCAGAGUCUCCCUCCUGUCCAGCCCUGCCAGAGGCUCCCUCCUGUCCAGCCCUGCCAGAGUCUCCCUCCUGUCCAGCCCUGCCAGAGUCUCCCUCCUGUCCAGCCCUGCCAGAGGCUCCCUCCUGUCCAGCCCUGCCAGAGGCUCCCUCCUGUCCAGCCCUGCCAGAGGCUCC